rnacentral:rRNA from 1 species
ACGCUGGCGGUGUGCAUCACACAUGCAAGUCGAACGAGGUAGCAAUACCUAGUGGCGGACGGGUGAGUAACGCGUGGGAAUCUGCCUUUAGAUGGGGGAUAACGGGUCGAAAGACUCGCUAAUACCGCAUAUGACGAAAGUUGAAAGGAGUAAUCCGUCUAAAGAUGAGCCCGCGUCCGAUUAGCUAGUUGGUAGAGUAAAAGCCUACCAAGGCGACGAUCGGUAGCUGGUCUGAGAGGAUGAUCAGCCACAAUGGGACUGAGACACGGCCCAUACUCCUACGGGAGGCAGCAGUGGGGAAUUUUACGCAAUGGGCGAAAGCCUGACGUAGCGACACCGCGUGAGCGAAGAAGCCCCUUGGGGUGUAAAGCUCUGUCAGCUGGAACGAAAAAAUGACGGUACCAGCAGAGGAAGCAUCGGCUAACUACGUG